UUAAGCGACUAAGCGUACACGGUGGAUGCCCUGGCAGUCAGAGGCGAUGAAGGACGUGCUAAUCUGCGAAAAGCGUCGGUAAGGUGAUAUGAACCGUUACAGCCGGCGAUGUCCGAAUGGGGAAACCCAGUGCAAUUCGUUGCACUAUCGUUAACUGAAUACAUAGGUUAACGAGGCGAACCGGGGGAACUGAAACAUCUAAGUACCCCGAGGAAAAGAAAUCAACCGAGAUUCCCCCAGUAGCGGCGAGCGAACGGGGAGCAGCCCAGAGUCUGAAUCAGCUUGUGUGUUAGUGGAACGGUCUGGAAAGUCCGACGGUACAGGGUGAUAGUCCCGUACACCAAAAUGCACAGGCUGUGAACUCGAAGAGUAGGGCGGGACACGUGGUAUCCUGUCUGAAUAUGGGGGGACCAUCCUCCAAGGCUAAAUACUCCUGACUGACCGAUAGUGAACCAGUACCGUGAGGGAAAGGCGAAAAGAACCCCGGCGAGGGGAGUGAAAAAGAACCUGAAACCGUGUACGUACAAGCAGUGGGAGCACCUUCGGGUGUGACUGCGUACCUUUUGUAUAAUGGGUCAGCGACUUAUAUUCUGUAGCAAGGUUAACCGUAUAGGGGAGCCGCAGGGAAACCGAGUCUUAACUGGGCGUUAAGUUGCAGGGUAUAGACCCGAAACCCGGUGAUCUAGCCAUGGGCAGGUUGAAGGUUGGGUAACACUAACUGGAGGACCGAACCGACUAAUGUUGAAAAAUUAGCGGAUGACUUGUGGCUGGGGGUGAAAGGCCAAUCAAACCGGGAGAUAGCUGGUUCUCCCCGAAAGCUAUUUAGGUAGCGCCUCGUGAACUCAUCUUCGGGGGUAGAGCACUGUUUCGGCUAGGGGGUCAUCCCGACUUACCAACCCGAUGCAAACUACGAAUACCGAAGAAUGUUAUCACGGGAGACACACGGCGGGUGCUAACGUCCGUCGUGAAGAGGGAAACAACCCAGACCGCCAGCUAAGGUCCCAAAGUCAUGGUUAAGUGGGAAACGAUGUGGGAAGGCACAGACAGCCAGGAUGUUGGCUUAGAAGCAGCCAUCAUUUAAAGAAAGCGUAAUAGCUCACUGGUCGAGUCGGCCUGCGCGGAAGAUGUAACGGGGCUAAACCAUGCACCGAAGCUGCGGCAGCGACACUAUGUGUUGUUGGGUAGGGGAGCGUUCUGUAAGCCUGCGAAGGUGACCUGUGAGGGUUGCUGGAGGUAUCAGAAGUGCGAAUGCUGACAUAAGUAACGAUAAAGCGGGUGAAAAGCCCGCUCGCCGGAAGACCAAGGGUUCCUGUCCAACGUUAAUCGGGGCAGGGUGAGUCGACCCCUAAGGCGAGGCCGAAAGGCGUAGUCGAUGGGAAACAGGUUAAUAUUCCUGUACUUGGUGUUACUGCGAAGGGGGGACGGAGAAGGCUAUGUUAGCCGGGCGACGGUUGUCCCGGUUUAAGCAUGUAGGCUGGUUAUCCAGGCAAAUCCGGAUAAUCAAGGCUGAGGUGUGAUGACGAGGCACUACGGUGCUGAAGUAACAAAUGCCCUGCUUCCAGGAAAAGCCUCUAAGCAUCAGGUAACAUCAAAUCGUACCCCAAACCGACACAGGUGGUCAGGUAGAGAAUACCAAGGCGCUUGAGAGAACUCGGGUGAAGGAACUAGGCAAAAUGGUGCCGUAACUUCGGGAGAAGGCACGCUGGUGUGUAGGUGAAGUCCCUGCGGAUGGAGCUGAGACCAGUCGAAGAUACCAGCUGGCUGCAACUGUUUAUUAAAAACACAGCACUGUGCAAACACGAAAGUGGACGUAUACGGUGUGACGCCUGCCCGGUGCCGGAAGGUUAAUUGAUGGGGUUAUCCGUAAGGAGAAGCUCUUGAUCGAAGCCCCGGUAAACGGCGGCCGUAACUAUAACGGUCCUAAGGUAGCGAAAUUCCUUGUCGGGUAAGUUCCGACCUGCACGAAUGGCGUAAUGAUGGCCAGGCUGUCUCCACCCGAGACUCAGUGAAAUUGAACUCGCUGUGAAGAUGCAGUGUACCCGCGGCAAGACGGAAAGACCCCGUGAACCUUUACUAUAGCUUGACACUGAACAUUGAGCCUUGAUGUGUAGGAUAGGUGGGAGGCUUUGAAGCGUGGACGCCAGUCUGCGUGGAGCCAACCUUGAAAUACCACCCUUUAAUGUUUGAUGUUCUAACGUUGGCCCCUAAUCGGGGUUGCGGACAGUGUCUGGUGGGUAGUUUGACUGGGGCGGUCUCCUCCCAAAGCGUAACGGAGGAGCACGAAGGUUAGCUAAUCCUGGUCGGACAUCAGGAGGUUAGUGCAAUGGCAUAAGCUAGCUUGACUGCGAGCGUGACGGCGCGAGCAGGUGCGAAAGCAGGUCAUAGUGAUCCGGUGGUUCUGAAUGGAAGGGCCAUCGCUCAACGGAUAAAAGGUACUCCGGGGAUAACAGGCUGAUACCGCCCAAGAGUUCAUAUCGACGGCGGUGUUUGGCACCUCGAUGUCGGCUCAUCACAUCCUGGGGCUGAAGUAGGUCCCAAGGGUAUGGCUGUUCGCCAUUUAAAGUGGUACGCGAGCUGGGUUUAGAACGUCGUGAGACAGUUCGGUCCCUAUCUGCCGUGGGCGCUGGAGAAUUGAGGGGGGCUGCUCCUAGUACGAGAGGACCGGAGUGGACGCAUCACUGGUGUUCGGGUUGUCAUGCCAAUGGCAUUGCCCGGUAGCUAAAUGCGGAAGAGAUAAGUGCUGAAAGCAUCUAAGCACGAAACUUGCCCCGAGAUGAGUUCUCCCUGAGACUUUAAGUCUCCUGAAGGAACGUUGAAGACGACGACGUUGAUAGGCCGGGUGUGUAAGCGCAGCGAUGCGUUGAGCUAACCGGUACUAAUGAACCGUGAGGCUUAACCUU
rnacentral:rRNA from 2 species